rnacentral:lncRNA from 1 species
AAAUUCCCAAGGGAGACUUGGGGAGUGGACGUAGGAGCAAGGGUUAGCUCCGAACCACUAUAAAACUUUGUGUUUGUAGUGCAUUGUCUCUCAUCUUCUUCUCCACACAUUACUCACAGCACUUAGCUUUAAUUAAAUAACUGGAUAUAGUAUUUAGUUAAUCAUCCACAAAGUUUUAAUUAGCUAAGUUAAUUUAAAAACCCAAUUCACCCCCCCCUCUUGGGUUGUCUAUCUGGGCAACAGGUUUGGCUGGGAACAUGGUUGGAGUGUGGGAUUUUAGUUAAACGAGAUGUGAGGAGUGGAUGGAGCUUUGGGAUUCGUGCAAAUAUGAUGGUAUGCUUCGAGAUAUGAGAGACAAAUAAUUAAAGGGAUUUUAUUGUUUUUGAGAUUAAAAUAGAGCAAUUGGAUUAUGUGGAAGAAGAGUUGGAACGAGUGGAAUGAAAUUUAGGUGACUGAAUCAGAGGGUCUUGAUUUGCGGGGUGCAUGCGAUUUGGGUUCAGAGAUCAUCCUAAAUCAAUUC